UACGUAGGGUGCGGAGCGUUUAAUCGGAAUUACUGGGCGUAAAGCGUGAGCGCAGGCGGUUUGCUAAGACCGAUGUGAAAUCCCCGGGCUUAACCCUGGGAACCUGCAUUGGUGACUGGCAGGCUAGAGUAUGGCAGAGGGGGGUAGAAUUCCACGUGUAGCAGUGAAAUGCGUAGAGAUGUGGAGGAAUACCGAUGGCGAAGGCAGCCCCCUGGGCCAAUAC
rnacentral:rRNA from 1 species